rnacentral:lncRNA from 1 species
CCGGAAGGAGGUCAUCCGCCCGUCCCUCAUCUGCGUCCUGAAGGAAUCAUCCACCCGUUCCUCAUCGGCGUCCCGAAGGAAGUCAUCCGCCCGUCCCUCAUCUGCGUCUGGAAGGAAGUCAUCCGCCCGUCCCUCAUCUGCGUCCUGAAGGAAUCAUCCGCCCGUCCCUCAUCUGCGUCCGGAAGGAGGUCAUCCGCCCGUUCCUCAUCUGCGUCUGGAAGGAAUCAUCCACCCGUCCCUCAUCUGCGUCCGGAAGGAAGUCAUCUGCCCGUCCCUCAUCUGCGUCUGGAAGGAAUCAUCCACCCGUCCCUCAUCUGCGUCCUGAAGGAAUCAUCCACCCGUCCCUCAUCUGCGUCCGGAAGGAGGUCAUCCGCCCGUUCCUCAUCUGCGUCCGGAAGGAAUCAUCCACCCGUCCCUCAUCUGCGUCCUGAAGGAAUCAUCCACCCAUCCCUCAUCUGCGUCUGGAAGGAAGUCAUCCGCCCGUCCCUCAUCUGCGUCCUGAAGGAAGUCAUCCGCCCGUUCCUCAUCUGCGUCUGGAAGGAAGUCAUCCGCCCGUCCCUCAUCUGCGUCCUGAAGGAAUCAUCCACCCGUUCCUCAUCUGCGUCCUGAAGGAAGUCAUCCACCCGUCCCUCAUCUGCGUCUGGAAGGAAUCAUCCACCCGUCCCUCAUCUGCGUCCUGAAGGAAUCAUCCACCCGUCCCUCAUCUGCGUCUGGAAGGAAG